rnacentral:rRNA from 1 species
UACGGAGGGUGCGAGCGUUGUCCGGAAUCACUGGGCGUAAAGCGUGCGCAGGCGGCUUCUCAAGUCAGGGGUGAAAGCCCAGAGCUCAACUCUGGAAUUGCCUUUGAGACUGAGUGGCUUGAGUACGAGAGAGGUGAGUGGAAUUCCCAGUGUAGAGGUGAAAUUCGUAGAUAUUGGGAAGAACACCGGUGGCGAAGGCGGCUCACUGGCUCGUAACUGACGCUCAUGCACGACAGCGUGGGGAUCAAACAGG